AUGAUUGUCUUAUGCACUGGCGUUCUUUGUGACAAGAGAGUGCCACAAAAGCUAAAAGGCAGGUGCUAUAGGACGGCGAUUCGACCCGCGAUGUUGUAUGACGCUGAGUGUUGGCCAACUAAAAGGCGACAUGUUCAACAGUUAGGUGUAGCGGAGAUGCGCAUGUUGAGUUGGAUAUGUGGCCGCACAAGAAACGAUUGGGUCCAGAAUGAUGAUAAACAUGAGAGAGUUGGGGUAGCACCAAUUGAAGAGAAGCUUGUCCAACAUCGUCUGAGAUGGUUUGGGCAUAUACAGCGCAGGCCUCCAGAAGCUCCAGUGCAUAACGGAUCGUUAAAGUGUGCUGAUAAUGUCAAAGAGAGGUCGUGGUAG
rnacentral:rRNA from 1 species